GGCCCUAUCGUCUAACGGUUAGGACGUCAGGUUUUCAUCCUGGAAAUCGGGGUUCGAUUCCCCGUAGGGUCA
rnacentral:tRNA from 1 species